UGAUCCAAACCUAAUGCCACAUGAUAAUAAUGACAUAAAAAAUGAGAUCUUACGAGUCUUUCACGUAGGGCUAUUGUGUAGCCAAGAAGUGCCGUCGCGGCGGCCAUCCAUGUCCACGGCGUUGACGAUGCUGAUCGGGAAACAACACCUCCCAACACCGACGAGCCCUCCAUUCGUGGACGAGAUAACUAUGCAGCUAGAGGAGGAGGACCCGAGUCGGGGCACAUCGCCAAUGCUCGGUUAUAGCAAUGCCACUAUAUCUCGGAGCAUUUUUCUUCCGAGAUAGUAGUGCACAAUGUAUGCUAAAGAUUUCACCUCACUAAAAAAUAAUUAAUUAUUUGUUUUUUUUUAGAUGGGGUUCAGCCUACCUCGGGUAUGCCAUUAAUGCUAAUGACAUUGUGUUAUCGAGAGUUAAAACUAGAGAAGCAAAUCAUUUGGUAGUAAUAUUCGUAAAUACUUCCUUCAUCCCACUGUAUCUGAGACUCUUUCAAUUUUGGGCGUUCCACUGUAAGUGAGACUCUUUCCUUUUUGGGUAAAAGUUUUUCCCUUUAAACACCUUUUCACUUUUUCACCGACACAUAAAAUACACUUUUUUUAAUUCCCGUGCCCAAAAAAGGUCUCACUUACAGUGGGACGGAAGGAGUAAUUACAACUAAUCUUUUAUGUACUUUAAUAAAAGAGACUUGUUUUUAUAAAAAAUAUGUUGCUUGUUAUGUUAUUAUGUUUUAAUCUAAUUCAAGGACAACAAUGUAAUAUCAUAUUUUUAUUAAAAUAAAUUGCAAAAAAGCAAUUAAAAUUGUGUGUAAACACGCACCACCCAUCGUCCAGCAUUGCAUCAGGGGUGCACCAGUGCGGCAGUAUGCGACCGCCUCCGGCGCGCCCUAUCGAAUCAGCUCGGCCACCCCCAAUUGGAGGUGCUCUAAGAGUUGAAAUUCAAAACUUGCAACCCCAAACCAAAAACAAAAUUUUAAUUUUCCACAAUUUUAAAUUAAAAUUCAUCUAAAUUAAAUUUGACUUGACAAUAUGAUGGUUGAAUAAACUUAAAGUUAAGCAAUCUUUACAUUCCAAUGUCCCAGUCAUCCAAGGUCAGCUCUUCCAAGUCACCCAUAGUUUGUUUUUUCCCUUCGUAUUGUUACAUUUUAUAAUUUUAAAAUUUAUUUUAUAAAAUUACCUCAUCAUAUUUAGAAAAAAAAAUUCCAUAAUUAAUUAGAGUCAUCUAAAUCUAAGAGCAUCUCCAGCGCUCGUUGCGAGCUCUGGAUCGACGCGGGACGAGGAGGCGGCGUGCGCGCUGGCGACCAGGGCAGAUGCGAGGCGGCGUCGAAGGCAAGACCCGGGGAGAGCGGCAAAGGCGUAUGGCGCGUCCUUCGGACGCGUCCAAUUUAAAAAAAAAAAUAUCGAAAAUCGUUAUUUUUUAAAAAACUUAGACCGUUGGAUAUUUAAAAAAAAAAAAAUUAACGACCGUUCCAAGCAACGGCUAUUUUGAUUUUUUUUUUCCCCUUCUAUAAAUACCACUCUUCCACUCUUUCAAAUUCACCAAUAUCUUCAACUACAAUUCUCUCUUCUACAUUUUCAAAGAUGGAUCGUGAAUUCGAUGAAUACCUCGAGCAACAAGGCGGAUCGAGGCUUCCAAUGAUGGGGUUUGCUCCAUUUUCACAAGCUUCCAAUGUCUUGGCUACGGGAAAUGUUCCCACGCCGGCGGCGAACGCCAACGUCCAAGAAGAGCCGGAGGAGGUGAAGCCGAAAGCCAAGGGCACCCGNCAAUCCUAAUUGAAUUCUUAGAUCCGUCCCUGCUUUUCUUGAUUUUUCGAUCAAUGUGGUGCUUUGUUUCAUAGAUUCAAACAGAAGUGAAGCAUUGAAUUGGGAGAAGAGAUUGCAAAUAAUUAUAGGAAUAGCAGAGGGAUUGGUGUACCUCCAUGAGAAAGCACACACAAAAAUCAUCCACAGAGACAUAAAAGCGAGCAAUAUACUAUUAGAUUCCAAAUUAUAUGCUAAAAUCGCAGAUUUUGGGCUGGUUAGAUCUUUCAAUGAAGAUAAAAGCCACAUCAGCACCGCCAUUGCCGGAACUUUGUAAGUAUCUUCAUAAUUUUAUUUUAAUUUUUCGAAUCCAAAAAGAUACUCUCUCUGUUCACAAAAAAAUUAUCACAUUGAGAGCAAUGCAAAUUUUAAUAAAAUGUGAUUAAAGUUGUUAGUGAAGUAAGGGCCGCACUUGACACUUUAAGUGUGAGUGGAGUUGUGAGGACCCCACUACUAUAAAUGAAAGUGACAAAUUUUUCGUAGAUGAAAAUAGUGAAAAAUAGUCACUCUCGAUAAUGAAAUGUCAGGGGAUACUUGGCCCCUGAGUACCUCGCCCGAGGACAAUUGACUGAGAAAGUGGAUGUUUAUAGCUUCGGCGUGCUUUUACUUGAGAUCGUCACCGGCACACAGAACAACGGAAGUCAGAACUCUGAGCUCGUAGACAGCAUGCUAACUCAAGUAAGUUUCUACUAUUUUUCCAUUUUCAUCAGUUCACAAAAUAUUUUUCUAUUAUCACUUUUUUUAAUUUAUGGGACCCCUUCUUUACUCACCAAAUACAUAACUAUUUUUUUAAAAAAAUAAUUCAUGUCGACUUCUAUUAAAAAGAUGUUUUGUGGAUGGAGGAAGUAUUAUUUAAUACUAUAUGAGUUAUGAGUUAUAGUUUAUGGUCUGACCUUUAAUACAGGUUUUCAAAAAUAAUAGUAUGACGUUUGGGGGAAGUUUCAAUCAACCCUAAUUUAAUUGAGGGUGAAUUACUAAAAUGUUUCAAAAGUAGUUCAAAUUUACAAAAUUUGAUUACAAGUGAAGAGAGUUUUCGAAAUUGGGCCCUUCCUGUUGUAGGUCGGGCCGGGCCAUGCUUUUUUAAGACCCAACUGUUUGUUUUUGGGCUACCAAUCUCCCUUGGGCCCGACUAGUCAAAAAGUGAUGAUUUAUUUGACAAUUAACUCUUGGAAUAAUAAUAAUAUCAUCAUUCAUCAACUACAAUUUCUAAUAUAUUUGUUAUAAUCCAGGCAUGGAGGCAUUUCGAGCAAAGAAUAAUUGAGGAGCUCAUUGAUCCAAACCUAAUGCUACAUGAUAAUAAUGAUAUAAAAAAUGAGAUCUUACGAGUCUUUCACGUAGGGCUAUUGUGUAGCCAAGAAGUGCCGUCGCGGCGGCCAUCCAUGUCCACGGCGUUGACGAUGCUGAUCGGGAAACAACACCUCCCGACACCGACGAGCCCUCCGUUCGUGGACGAGAUAACCAUGCAACUAUACGAGGAGGACCCGAGUCGGGGCACAUCGCCAAUGCUCGGUCAUAGCAAUACCACUAUAUCUCGGAGCAUUUUUCUUCCGAGAUAGUCGUGGACAGUAUACGCUAAAGAUUUCACUUCACUAAAAAAUGAUUAAUUAUUUGUUUUUUUUUUAAUUUUUUUAGAUGGGGUUCAACCUACCUCGGGUAUGCCAAUGGUAAUGACAUUGUGUUAUCGGGAGUUAAAACUAGAGAAGCAAAUCAUUUGGAAGUAAUAUUCGUAAAUAAUUACAACUAAUCUUUUAUGUACUUUAAUAAAAGAGACUUGUUUUAUAAAAAAAUAUGUUGCUUGUUAUGUUAUUAUGUUUUAAUCUAAUUCAAGGACAAUAAUGUAAUAUCAUAUUUUUAUUAAAUAAAUUACAAACCCCAAACCAAAAACAAAAUUUUGAGCCAGCCCCCUAAAUAUAUGCAAGAACAAAUACCCUCACACUCACGGUUAUUGAAUUGGCUUAGAUUGAUUUAAAUACAAGUUUUUUUAUAUGUAUUUAAUUUAACACACAAGUAUUGUAAGUUGUGAAUAAAUAUACGAAUUUAUAUGUUAUUUUAAUUUUUCCACAAUUUUAAAAUUCAUCUAAAUUAAAUUUGACUUGACAAUAUGAUGGUUGAAUAAACUUAAAGUUGAGCAAUCUUUACAUAUUCCAAUGUCCCAGUCAUCCAAGGUCAGCUCUUCC
rnacentral:lncRNA from 1 species